AUAGUUUUUUCUUGUAGAAUUAAAUCUGGCAGAUGUUACCUACCCUGUUUUCCCCAAAAUAAGACAUUCCCUGAAAAUAAGCCCAAUCGGGCUUUUGAGCACAUGGCAAUAAGGCAAAGCGCUUAUUUCAGGGUUCAAAAAAAUACAAGACAGAAUCUUAUUUUCAGGGAAACACGGUAUAUAGUGAUGAAAUAAAUUCAAUAAUAAAACCACGUCAUCUAUGAAAGACUCCCUCUAUUUAUUAGAUGACCCUGACUUCUGGAAUUAUCAGAUAGAUCAGUGUUUUUCAACCUUGACCACUUGAAGAUGUAUGGACUUUAAUUCCCAGAAUUCCCCAGACAACUGGCUGAGAUAAAUGUUUUGAAAGUGUUGCUUGCAUUGUGGAAAAUUCCUUGCGUAGUCACUUAUGAAAGGGAAAGGUGCAAAAAAAAAUACAAGCUUGUUUGACAUGUUUGUGGGAUAAUAAAUAUUUAUACCAGAUUUGGAAUAAAUGUUUCAAUACAUUUCAUUGUAAUAGGGGAGGGUGUGACCAGCUAACUUAUUUAGUUUUGGUUGUCUAUUAUGGGUUACCCCUUCAAACUAAAAACUCUAAGGGGGACUUAGGGGCCAUUCAGACAUUCUAUUAACUUCAAAUGAAGAAUUUCUUCUCGAAACACAUCUAGGCUUAGAAAAGAUUUUUCCUGACAACUGUAACUGUGGGAGAGGUUUUUAUUUCCAAAAGUAUGUUUAUAUUAUUUUCAUUUAUAUGCUGGAGAAAAAUGCAUGGCAAUGUGUACUGCAUUAUAUAGGGUUUACAUAAUUAAAAAUGUAUAAGUAUGUGGCAAAAUAUCAUAAUACAACAUAAACCAAUCUUAACAUUCCAUAUGCCAGUUUGCAUUAUUUGCAUUAACCCAUUACUGAGCAUGAAGGGGUAAUUCUGUCUAUUAAUAGGUCACUGCAGAGAAACCAGAGAAUAAGGGAAAGUGGAAUGGAGGCAAAGGUAAACAAACAAAGAAUACUUGGAGAUUACAGGGUGAUAAAAAGGGAGUUUUAAUCCAAACUCCUGAGAAUACCAGAUUAGAGGAUUGUGUAAUUUUUAAGGAGGAAUCUCAGGAAAUGCUUCAAAUGAGGUUGAGAGAGGAGCCAACAUGGUCAGGAAAACAGAGAAAAUCCAUUAUGUACUGUAAUGAUUAGUUACCGGUAUGUAGAUUUUACCAAAUUAUUACUCACAAAUUAAGGCACAAAGCCAGAGAGUUUAUAUUAAUGCACAGGGCAACUUCAGAUAUAAAGUAUUUAGAGGUUUUAGAAGAAAGAGGAUUUGAUCAUGUUCUGUGUCUGAAAUCUGGGCUAGGGGAAAAUGUUUUGAGAAGCUUCUUCAUUCUUCAUUGGACAAAUGAUUUAAGAGGGAUCUGAACACUUGUUUAUUUAAUAAAGUGAGAUGAUUGAUAGAAGUGAAGCAGACGCUGAGAAUGGCAGUAAAUUAGAUAGUAAGUACAUUUAAUGAUGGUAAACAUGUUGGUUUUCUUGUGAUUGUAAAUGGUGUAUAUGAAUUUUAUUGCUUUUAUAUAAUUUUAACUGCUGUUCCCUUUGAAGCUGUUCAUUUUUUAUUGUAGUUAGUGUUUAAAAAUAAAUUGUUCCCUGUGUGGAAAAAAUGGUUUAAAAAUUAAACCCUUUAAAAACGGUUUGAUUCUUCAUCCCCUAAAUCUUAAGAAUUGUAUUGGAGUUCCUGGCAGAGCCUAAUUUGUGAUGAGAGUCAUUUCCAUGGAUUUUGCCACUUAGGAGGUAUGUAAGUGGAGUUUGUUUACUAUCCAGCCCCGUAAUGGUGAACCUAUGGCAUGUGUGCCACAAGUGGCAUGCAGCACCCUCUCUGUGGGCACGUGAGCUGUCACCCCAGUUCAGCUCUGCUGCGCAUGCACAUGCGCCUCAUGUCGGCAAGCUGGUCAUCGGAGUUAGGGUUAGGGGGCAGAUCACAUACGGGAGAGCCCUGUGUGCAUGCAGGUGUGCGGGAGUGUGUGCACGUGCACGUGCAGGGUGUGUGUGCACGCAUUGAAUUUCGGAGGUUCGGGCACGCGCACUUUGGGUACUUGGUCCGGAAAAGGUUAGCUAUCACUGAUCUAGCCUAAUGAAUAGCUCUGAAGAAGCUGCACAGCAAUUAGCCUAAUAAAGAUGCUUGUCAAAAUAUGGAAUCUGACAUUUUUCUUCUGAUCAAAAUAGAGCCUACCACAUCCCUAUAACCCCAAAACUCCAUUUUGCCAUCUUGAUUGUCUUCCUAAUGGAAUUAUUUAAAGCCAUUAUGGAAAAUGUUUUCUUAUCAGGUAAAUCAAAACAACAGGAGAAAAUUAGAAUGAUGGGAUACUCUUAACAAAGAAGCAAAAUGAAUUCAGAACUAUAUAAAAAAAUCCUGCCACAAUAAUAACAAAAUACAUUUUGGAAUAUUGACUAGGAAAUCUUUACUGUUCAAAAUAUUCACAUAUUUAUGGGGAUUCCAUACAAUACAUACCCUAUUACAGCUCUCAAGUUACUAUGGAGCAAAGUAUUUCUGUAAGAUAAUAGUCCCAUUAUAAGAGAUCUGAUGAUAUGUGUUAAAUAUACAAAAUUAUUUGAAAUUAGUAUUUCCAAGUUACUUCUGUCAACACUCCUUCACUAAAAAAUUGUGUCCAGGUAGCUAAGCAACUAUAUCUAGACAUCAACAAAUCAAGGAAACGUGCAUUUUAUAAAUUAUAAACAAGCAGAAAACUAAACCUUCAGCAAUUAUGGGAAUGAGUCCUUAAAAAAAUUCCCAACCAUGGUGGUAAUUGUUUUACAUUCACUUUAUUGUCCUGGUCACUUGGCACAAAACAGUAAUCAGGAACCAUCCAAGACUUUUAAGCACUUGCAUCCAGUUGGAUGAAUCAUAUUAUAUUGCUUUGUUUGUCCAUGAACCAAAAUACCCCUUUGCUAUGCUUAACAAAGAUCUAAAACCAGAAGAGUGAGAGGGCUGUUUGCUAAUAAAGUCAUUUGGUCCUUGCUAACAGAGGGGGUUGAGUGACCCAUAAGGAUUUACCAAGGCCUCAAAUUCACCAACCUUGAACAAUCAAUCUCCUCCUUCCACACUGAAUUGUCCUACAUAAUUUUUAAUUGUGGACUCUCAAUAUUUAACUUUAAUUAACCCCCUAUUAUUCCAAACCAUUGUUUUUUCCCCCCAGUUGCUUUCAGGUAGAGGGAUUGUUUUUCUUUCCUGCAAAAUUCCUCCCUUUUCUUCACGGUGACCUAGAUUUGUCAAAUUGGAGCAAAUACACUAAUAAAGCUGCAGUACUUCCUGUCUCCACCUCCUCCAUCCAAAAGCUCAUUAAUAUUUUCAGAGUACACUGCCUCGAGUCCUUGUUAACCCUUCCCUGCUCCCCUUCCUUUCCAAGUUGUAACCUGAGACAAGACACAUUAACAGCAACUGCACGGAAGGGGUGUUUUCACAGUACAGUAUCCGGGUACUACAGCAACAUCAAAAGUAAUAACAGAUGAAUCGGUGUCAGAAGAUGACAAAAGGAGAGAUUAUGGAGGUGUUUAUGUUGGCUUACCUGCUGCAGCAGCCAAGAUUUCCAGCCAGACAAAAACAGCACCUAAAGGAACCUGACCGGAGAGAACAAUCUGGAGAACAGACUUUUGGGAGACAAAUUCUAAGGAAGAGUCGGCCCAUCGUUUUAUGAGCUUGGAACAGAUGUAGUUAUCUGCAAAGAUCACUGGUUGGCAAGUGAAUUACACAGAAAGAUCGCAUCACUGAAAGAACUGGAACUGUGAAUCAAGUGGAGUGUUGAAAUGGAAUGAAAUGAAAUGAAAUGGAUGAAGAAUCAAAUCUUAUGGACAAUUUUGAUGCCACUUAUUGCUGCAUUAAUUAGUAGAUAUAGGGCAAUUCUGCCCAAGAAUGCAUGCUGCUGUUGCUAAUACUUUGAAUAACACUUUGCUUCCUGUAUUUUUGAUAGCUUUUUUAAGUUAAAAAACCAUUUCUAUUGUUCACUCAAGUGCUCCUAAGCUGAUGCUACAAUAAUUACUUAUUUACUUAAGAUUGAUAAGGUUAUUUGAAUCAUAAAUGCAAAAAGUGGCUUUUGGAAUUUAGAUAAGGGUUCCAAGUCAGAUCCCUUUGAUUAUCAGUUGCUUUUAUAUUGACUGUGAAGAUUACUGAAAAUUGAUUGUAAUUUUCUCAAUGGUUUGUACUGUUUUUUCCUGUUUCAUUUAUUCACUCAUUCCUGUUAAAAUUAAAAGAAAUAGCUGCUUUCUCCCAAAUGCUUGUGUUAUAUCUUCUGUUUCUCAUGAGAUUUUAGAAAAUGUAAUGGUAGCUUUGACAGAUACCAAAGCGAAACAACUAUAGCUUGUUCUUUUGUACUUGCAAAGGAAUUCCAGGAAAGCUCCAUUGAAAUAAAUAUUGUUUUGGAGUUGACUUUGCCCCCAGCACAGCUGUUUUUAUUGCUAUGAUAUUUACUUUUCAUUAUCUGAUAUUUUAAACCUUCAAACUUAAGUUGAGGACUUCCUGUAGAGACGCUAUA